UACGUAGGGCGCAAGCGUUAUCCGGAAUUAUUGGGCGUAAAGAGCUCGUAGGCGGUUUGUCGCGUCUGCUGUGAAAACUCGGGGCUUAACUCCGGGCCUGCAGUGGGUACGGGCAGACUAGAGUGCGGUAGGGGAGACUGGAAUUCCUGGUGUAGCGGUGAAAUGCGCAGAUAUCAGGAAGAACACCAAUGGCGAAAGCAGCUCUCUGGGACGGUACUGACGCUGAGACGCGAAAGCGUGGGGAGCGAACAGG
rnacentral:rRNA from 1 species